UAGGGAAUCUUCCACAAUGGACGAAAGUCUGAUGGAGCAACGCCGCGUGAGUGAAGAAGGGUUUCGGCUCGUAAAGCUCUGUUGUUAAAGAAGAACACGUAUGAGAGUAACUGUUCAUACGUUGACGGUAUUUAACCAGAAAGCCACGGCUAACUACGUGCCAG
rnacentral:rRNA from 1 species